rnacentral:rRNA from 1 species
AGAUUGAACGCUGGCGGCAUGCCUUACACAUGCAAGUCGAGCGGCAGCGCGGGGGGCAACCCUGGCGGCGAGCGGCGAACGGGUGAGUAAUACAUCGGAACGUGUCCAGUAGUGGGGGAUAACCAGUCGAAAGAUUGGCUAAUACCGCAUACGAUCUACGGAUGAAAGCGGGGGACCGCAAGGCCUCGCGCUAUUGGAGCGGCCGAUGUCGGAUUAGCUAGUUGGCGGGGUAAAAGCCCACCAAGGCAACGAUCCGUAGCUGGUCUGUGAGGACGAUCAGCCACACUGGAACUGAGACACGGUCCAGACUCCUACGGGAGGCAGCAGUGGGAAUUUGGACAACGGGGGCAACCCUGAUCCAGCCAUGCCGCGUGAGUGAAGAAGGCCUUCGGGUUGUAAGUCGUCGUUCGGCGGGACGAAACGGUCCGUGACAACGACCAACGGACUAA